rnacentral:rRNA from 1 species
UAAUACGUAGGGGGCAAGCGUUGUCCGGAAUGAUUGGGCGUAAAGGGCGCGUAGGCGGCCUGUUAAGUCUGGAGUGAAAGUCCUGCUUUCAAGGUGGGAAUUGCUUUGGAUACUGGCGGGCUGGAGUGCAGGAGAGGUUAGUGGAAUUCCCGGUGUAGCGGUGAAAUGCGUAGAGAUCGGGAGGAACACCAGUGGCGAAGGCGACUAACUGGACUGUAACUGACGCUGAGGCGCGAAAGUGUGGGGAGCAAACAGGAUUAGAUACCCUGGUAGUCCACACGGUAAACGAUGAAUGCUAGGUGUAGGGGGUAUCGACCCCUUCUGUGCCGGAGUAAACACAAUAAGCAUUCCGCCUGGGGAGUACGGCCGCAAGGUUG